CUAGUAUUAAAGGUCCAACCUGCCCAGUGAAAACUUUUCAACGGCCGCGGUAUCCUAACCGUGCAAAGGUAGCGCAAUCACUUGCCCCUUAAAUGAGGGCUAGUAUGAACGGUUUCAUGAGGGUUUAACUGUCUCCUGAAGCCAAUCAAUGAACUUGAUCACUCAGUACAAAUGCUGAGAUAUAACCAUAAGACGAGAAGACCCUGUGGAACUUUAAGUUUUAAUUGUUGACCCCCCCCCAAAUACGGCCCUCAACAGGAAACUUCAGUUGGGGCAACUACGGGGUAAAACAAAACCCCCACGAAAAAUAACUAACCAUUAUACAAGCAGGCCCACAAGCCACAUAUAGCUGUCUGACCCAGUUCAAACUGAUCACCGAACCAAGCUACCCCAGGGAUAACAGCGCCAUCCCCUUUAAGAGUCCGUAUCGCCAAGGGGGUUUACGACCUCGAUGUUGGAUCAGGACACCCCGGCGGUGCAGCCGCUGCCAAAGGUUCGUUUGUUCAACGAAUAAAGUCCU
rnacentral:rRNA from 1 species